rnacentral:rRNA from 1 species
AACGAACGCUGGCGGCAUGCCUAACACAUGCAAGUCGAACGAGACCUUCGGGUCUAGUGGCGCAGGGGUGCGUAACGCGUGGGAACCUGCCCUUCGCUUCGGAAUCACUCCCCGAACGGGGUGCUAAUACCGGAUAAUGUUUUCUGACACAGGAUAUACCGCCUUUGGAUGGGGCUGCGUUGGAUUAGCUAGUUGGUAGGGUAAAAGCUUACCUAGGCGACGAUCCAUAGCUGGUCUGAGAGGAUGAUAAGCCACACUGGGACUGAGACACGGCCCAGACUCCUACGGGAGGCAGCAGUGGAGGAUAUUGGACAAGGGGCGAAAGGCUGAACGAGCAAUGCCGCGUGGGUGAUGAAGGUCGUAGGGUUGGAAAGCUCUUUUACCCGGGAUGUGAGUGACAGUAACGGGGAAAUGAGCCCCGGCUAAAUCCGUG